GUCUACGGCCAUACCACCCUGAACGCGCCCGAUCUCGUCUGAUCUCGGAAGCUAAGCAGGGUCGGGCCUGGUUAGUACUUGGAUAGGAGAAAGAGAUACAUAAACU
ensembl:rRNA 5S_rRNA 5S ribosomal RNA